rnacentral:lncRNA from 1 species
GUGCUUCCAUGACCACAACCACAAAGUUUCGCACCUUCAUCAUCCUCACCAACAACCUCAACCUGCAAAGACAACUACAGAAGCACAAAAACCUAAUCGUGUUUCUCCUUAUUAGGACGCCAUGCCUUCGCCAUUAAGCACCACCGUGAGCAACCAUUGCCUUUGCAAAACGCGAAACCAUCACCACCUGCAAAUCAAAGAAACAAUAAGAAC